rnacentral:rRNA from 1 species
AGUGAACGCUGGCGGUAGGCCUAACACAUGCAAGUCGAACGGAAGCACAGUAAGAGCUUGCUCUUACGGGUGGCGAGUGGCGGACGGGUGAGGAAUACAUCGGAAUCUACUUUUUCGUGGGGGAUAACGUAGGGAAACUUACGCUAAUACCGCAUACGACCUACGGGUGAAAGCAGGGGAUCUUCGGACCUUGCGCGAUUGAAUGAGCCGAUGUCGGAUUAGCUAGUUGGCGGGGUAAAGGCCCACCAAGGCGACGAUCCGUAGCUGGUCUGAGAGGAUGAUCAGCCACACUGGAACUGAGACACGGUCCAGACUCCUACGGGAGGCAGCAGUGGGGAAUAUUGGACAAUGGGCGCAAGCCUGAUGCAGCCAUACCGCGUGGGUGAAGAAGGCCUUCGGGUUGUAAAGCCCUUUUGUUGGGAAAGAAAAGCAGCAGGUUAAUACCCCGCUGUUCUGACGGUACCCAAAGAAUAAGCACCGGCUAACUUCGUG